rnacentral:lncRNA from 1 species
AGGGAUUCAGCAGCCACAGUGUGUCUAAACUGAUUGCUUACCACCAGAAUCAUCUGUGUUUUGGGCAUCUUUGAUAUCUCUACAGCUCGUCCCUCACAGCAACAUCUGAGAUCACUGUCCUUCCCAGCGCUGUUCUUUGGCUCAGUUGCUUGGCUUCAGUGUGAGGUGAGCAUGGAUUGGAGUGGCGUUUGGCUAACGUGCUCUGAAAACACUCAGUUCAUCUCAAAGUGCUUCUUUGAGUUCCCAACAAAGAUAGUGCUGCUGGUCCUGCCUGCUGUGCAAAUACAUGGAUGAGGAAAGCUCCUGUCUCUGGCAUGUUUGCAGUCUUCUAGAUGUAAUCAGAAGAAGUGCCCCUAAGAUCUUCUAUCAACCCUAUCAAUCAAAUGAAUCAUCGAGUCAGAGAUACGGUGUCUUCCAUGGCAAGUUCUGUGGAAGGCCAUUGUGGACACACUGCACAGUAUUUUCACCUUAAAACGAAUCAAGCCAAUGGCAUGCACAGAUGGGUCAACUCUUGUCUGCCUUGAAGAAAUGGGAGUGACAGCAGCUGUAAGUGAACCAUUCUAAACUCUUAAUACUCAUUUUUGUAAUCGAACUUGAGCUAUCAGGCAGAUGCAAGUAACAUACUUUAGUGACUUGGCUCGCAAAUAGAGCCCACAACAUUUAUGAGGACUUAAGAGCUUAUUACAUGGCCAUCAGCACUCUCAUUCAGAUAAUGGAGGGUCAUAGGAGUGAAAACAGAUCUUUUGGAAUUACUUUCAUGAUGGGUGCUGCAUGGGCUGGAAUGGUUUGGGGUUAUUUCUUUGCCAAACUCUCCACAUAGCUAAUUGAACCCAGAAACACGGGGGAUCACUUUGAGAAGGACACG